GACCCAAUAGCAUAAGUCAGUGUGCCUGCUGACAUUUGCGGGGGAAAACAACGUAUGCGGGAGGUCCCUGUUCGAUUCAGGGUUGGGUCG